rnacentral:lncRNA from 1 species
ACAAGAACAGAUGGCUGUCAUUUAAAGGGGAUCAAAUGCUCUGCUACUUUUCUUCCCCACCAACCAGGAACUUGCUCGAAAUUCACCAAGUCUUCGUCCAGACCCAAAAAUAAUAAACAAAGUCUUCGUCUUUUGUCCAAAGACACGUCAAGAAAAUUACUUGGAAAACGUUUGCCUGUUGCUAAGAAGAAGAGGGAAAGAGGACGUCUACAUUUCUGAGUUAUGCUAUUGAACUUCCCCG